CGUGUUUGUUGUUCCUGUCCCUCAUUUGUCGCGUUGACAGUCGACAGGUGCGUGACAAUCUCCUAGCGUCAUACUGUAACGCUCUGCUGAUUCAGGACAUGUCAGGUCUCUCCGGGGUUGAAGUGGCAGCAGCAGGAACAUGAACACCCAACACUGAGUACAAAGUUAUCCUGUGUUCAGUGUAAUUACCUUCAGAUCAUUCACUUUCCCUCGCCCUCCUUGCCCUGCUCUUCAGUGACAUGACACUCCCACGACACACGGAGCCACUACCAGGUCAUCCCAGCCACGUGCCGCCGCCUCGCUCCGCUGCUUCACAAGGCGCUCCACGCGUGCCACAGCCAGCCGGCGCUCCCUAUUGGCGGCCUGAAGACCCACGCACCCCAGCAACAAGGUGAAGGCUGUGCUCUGGCAGGUCGCUCUAGCUUGCCAUCAUAGGUGCUAGCCUGCCCUGAGCGCCCUCCUCUCUGCCUGUGACGCGCCGGGGGUGUCUGGCUGGAUGAGUGGUGACGCUGCAGACUGGCGGCGGCACUCCCCUGCAUUGCUGUAACAAAGCAGCCGUGUGAGCGACUCGUGGGCUGGCGCGCCGCCGGUUAAUGAUGUACGAGAGGCUCCCAAAUAUAUAUUAUUUUUA